UAAUACGAAGGGGGCUAGCGUUGUUCGGAAUUACUGGGCGUAAAGGGCGCGUAGGCGGCCUUGUUAGUCGAGUGUGAAAGCCCUGGGCUUAACCCGGGAAGCGCGCUUGAUACUGCAGGGCUUGAGUGUGGGAGAGGAUGAUGGAAUUCCCAGUGUAGAGGUGAAAUUCGUAGAUAUUGGGAAGAACACCAGUGGCGAAGGCGAUCAUCUGGACCACAACUGACGCUGAGGCGCGAAAGCGUGGGGAGCAAACAGGAUUAGAUACCCUGGUAGUCCACGCCGUAAACGAUGUGUGCUAGACGCUGGAGGACCUAGUCUUUCGGUGUCGCAGCUAACGCUUUAAGCACAC
rnacentral:rRNA from 1 species